UCAUCUUUUAUUUAGGUUGAUAUUUCAAUGAUUAAAAAAGAUGGAACACUUUACAACUAAUUUUUAAUCUUUUUCUGUCCUUUGUAAUGAUAUUGAGAAUCUUUCAUGAUAUACAUAUAUGUAGUACUAAAAAAAAAAAACAGAGAAAAAGGAAAAUUUUUCCCCUUUUCUUCCCUCUCCUUUUACCCUUCUUUCCUAUCCUUCCUUCCUCUUCUAGUUUUCUUCCCUCUCCAUCACCGACGGCCUCCGCUCUGCGCGCCCCCCCCCACUCUCUCCCCCCCGCCUGCGCCGAACUGCUAUCACCGCCGCCAGCUUCUCGUCAUUCCCCUCUUAGCUGUCGCGCUACCUUCCUCUUCCUCCCUCCCCAGCUGCCGACGUCUGCAUAAAGAAAGGAGUUGUCAUCGUCGAAUCAACCAUUUGCUGAUGUCCAAUCACUCGUCCAACGUUGGAAUCGAGCUCCUCGCCACCGGAGACCCCCAAGUCGAGCUUCCCAGUCGUGAAUUCCUCGCCGGUAGCCUCGGUCAAGCCUCAUGGCGCAGCGCCUUUCCAGCCUCGAUUCGGUGUCUUCCGCCGAGUUUCCGACCAAAACUCUUAUAUUUUCGUACUCCUCGCAACUCAAGCUUCACGUACGCCCUUCCGGAUUUGAAUUACGAUAUUGUUGGCAGUACGGGUUUCCGGACCCUGGUGUUUUUUGACGCCAAAAAUUUUGUAUUUUCGGCUCGGUAUAAUUUUAUUUAGACCUUAAGAAUUAUUUUAUAAUUUUUGAAAAUAUUGUUGACUAUAAUCAUACUGUUUAUAAUUAUUAUACAUGUUAUGAUUGUGCUAUUGGGAUGAGGCGACAGUGAGACAUUGGCAUCUGAUGGGUUGCAUCAAGACCAUGUGCACACCGAUGAUAAUCUGAGGCGGGUAGUAACGAUUAUUUUUGAAUUUUGUCUGGUCAAGUAUAAUUCUUUGGGCUGUGUAAGUUUGACUGACGGAGGAAGGUCUCUGGUCGAGCGUUGCUCUCUGGGCGCCGGCUUAUUUGUGAUAAAAUGUCGAGGCUGGAUUUAAAGACCCUGGUUGAGCUUCACUCUCUAGGCACCAUACCUAUUGGAAUAAGAGAGCCGAAUACUAGUAUUGGGGUUAAGGUUCUGCUGAGGCACUCGUCCCAUAAGUAUUUAAAUUGUGACAGUUAGGAUUUUCCGCCGACUUGUGUUUGACAACCCGACUUCCUUCUCUAUCGGGCCUAUUGUAAAUAAUUUCAUAUUUUUAUAUUUUUAAUUAUUUUAAAUUCUAAAUUCUCCACAGUAGUAUACUUGAUAUGUUAUGUUUGAUCUGGUCUGUAAUAAAUUGUAGAGUGUUAUUAUUGUCCAGUUAAAGACUUGUGUAUGGCAUGUCAGAUGGA